GGAUGGUCGAAUGCUUACACAUGCAGUCGAUUCAAGUUACCUUCGGGUAACGAGGAUGGCGGACGGGUGAGUAACGCGUAAGGAACUUGCCUCUUGGUCUGGGACAACUGUUGGAAACGACAGCUAAUACCGGAUAUUAUGAGAUUCUCGCAUGAGAAACUUAUGAAAGCUAUAUGCGCCAAGAGAGAGCCUUGCGUUCCAUUAGCUAGUUGGUGGGGUAACGGCCCACCAAGACGACGAUGGAUAGCCGGCCUGAGAGGGUGAACGGCCACAAGGGGACUGAGACACGGCCCUUACUCCUACGGGAGGCAGCAGUGGGGAAUAUUGGACAAUGGGCCACAAGCCUGAUCCAGCAAUUCUGUGUGCACGAUGAAGGUCUUCGGAUUGUAAAGUGCUUUCAGUUGGGAAGAAGAAAGUGACGGUACCAACAGAAGAAGCGACGGCUAAAUACGUGCCAGCAGCCGCGGUAAUACGUAUGUCGCAAGCGUUAUCCGGAUUUAUUGGGCGUAAAGCGCGUCUAGGCGGAAAAAUAAGUCUGAUGUUAAAAUGCGGGGCUCAACUCCGUAUUGCGUUGGAAACUGUUUUUCUAGAGUACUGGAGAGGUGGGCGGAACUACAAGUGUAGAGGUGAAAUUCGUAGAUAUUUGUAGGAAUGCCGAUGGAGAAGUCAGCUCACUGGACAGAUACUGACGCUGAAGCGCGAAAGCGUGGGGAGCAAACAGGAUUAGAUACCCUGGUAGUCCACGCCGUAAACGAUGAUCACUAGGUGUUGGGGGUCGAAUCUCAGCGCCCAAGCUAACGCGAUAAGUGAUCCGCCUGGGGAGUACGCACGCAAGUGUGAAACUCAAAGGAAUUGACGGGGACCCGCACAAGCGGUGGAGCAUGUGGUUUAAUUCGACGCAACGCGAGAAACCUUACCAGCGUUUGACAUCCUAAGAAGUUUCCAGAGAUGGAUUCGUGCCGGCUUGCCGGAACUUAUUGACAGGUGGAGCAUGGCUGGCUGCAGCUCUAGGCGGGAGAGGUGGGUUUAGGCCCGCUACGAGCGCACCCCGAUUGUAGGUUGCUACCUUUAGGUGAGACCUCUGGCGAUCUGCCGCGAUGGCUGCGCGAGGUUGGCAAUUGGGUGAGUGUUC
rnacentral:rRNA from 1 species